UGGGGAAUCUUGCACAAUGGGGGCAACCCUGAUGCAGCGACGCCGCGUGAGCGAUGAAGCCCUUCGGGGCGUAAAGCUCUUUCGACCGGAACGAUAAUGACGGUACCGGGAGAAGAAGCUGCGGCUAACUACGUGCCAGCAGCCGCGGUAAUACGUAGGCAGCAAGCGUUGUUCGGAGUUACUGGGCGUAAAGAGUGCGUAGGCGGUUUUCUAAGUUCGGUGUGAAAUCUCCCGGCUUAACUGGGAGGGUGCGCCGAAGACUGGGAAGCUGGAGUGUGGGAAAGGCAGGCGGAAUUCCUGGUGUAGCGGUGAAAUGCGUAGAGAUCAGGAGGAACACCGGCGGUGUAGACGGCGUGCUAGACCAUAACUGACGCUGAGGCACGAAAGCGUGGGUAGCAAACA
rnacentral:rRNA from 1 species